rnacentral:rRNA from 1 species
GAUGAACGCUAGCUACAGGCUUAACACAUGCAAGUCGAGGGGAAACGACAUUGAAGCUUGCUUCGCUCGUCGUCGACCGGCGCACGGGUGAGUAACGCGUAUCCAACCUGCCUCUGACCUAGGGAUAACCAGCCGAAAGUCGGCCUAAUACCUUAUGCAGUCGUCGGAAGUCAUCUGAUGACGACGAAGCAUUUCAUCGGUGAGUGAUGGGGUGGCGUCUGAUUAGCUUGUUGGCGGUGUAACGGCCCACCGAGGCAUCGAUCAGUAGGGGUUCUGAGGGGAACGGCCCUCACAUUGGAACUGAGACCAGGUCCAAACACAUACGGGAGGCAGCAGUGAGGAAGAUAGGAGUAUGGGAGAGAGCCUGAACCAGCCAAGUAGCGUGCAGGAAGACGGCCCUAUGGGUUGUAAACUGCUUUUAUGCGGGGAUAAAGUGAGGGACGUGUCCGUCAUUGCAGGUACCGCAUGAAUAAGGACCGGCUAAUUCCGUG